UACGUAGGGCGCAAGCGUUGUCCGGAAUUAUUGGGCGUAAAGAGCUCGUAGGCGGCUUGUCACGUCGAGUGUGAAAUCCCCGGGCUUAACUUGGGAAUUGCGCUCGAAACUACGUGGCUCGAGUGUGGCAGAGGAAGGUGGAAUUCCACGUGUAGCGGUGAAAUGCGUAGAGAUGUGGAGGAACACCGAUGGCGAAGGCAGCCUUCUGGGCCAACACUGACGCUCAUGCACGAAAGCGUGGGGAGCAAACAGG
rnacentral:rRNA from 1 species